GCGGGCGUAGCUCAGUUGGUCAGAGCACUGCCUUGCCAUGGCAGGGGUCGCGGGUUCGAGUCCCGUCGCCCGCUCC
rnacentral:tRNA from 1 species